AGCCUAGCUUUUGCCGGCGAGCAUCUCUAUAUUCGGAAGGUCGAAAGACGAUGGCGCUGAAACUCAUAGCGGACUGCGGGCAGACCCGGGGGCGGUACCCGGCGCCUCCACCCCAGCAGCUCAGGUCUCAUUCCACAAAUGAGGCAAUCUUGCCGCAAGGCGGGAUCAACGGGCUGCUUAGGCGGGGGCGAAAUAGGAUCGAUGGCCGCGAAGAAGGUAUGAAUUGUUCCCGGCAUGAUACCGCCGUUAUCGGGUCAAAACCUAAAUGCAAACGAUAACGUUCGCAUGAACGAAGUGCGCCUCGCGGCGUAACCGUUCGGGGUAGGUCCACCUUGCAACAGAACGGCCAUCGCC
rnacentral:tmRNA from 1 species